UACAGGUGUAUAAUUUACCCUGUUACAUUUACAUGUCCUGUUUCAACUCAUACAAAACUGUUGAUUUGUCAUGUUUAUACUCAUAUCUGUGUUUAAAAAUGUAGUUACCUGAUCAAAAUGGGUGCUUCUCUUAAAUGCCUUGAUAAUAGAAGCUGAUGUCACUUCCUGUCCUGAUUCCUCCUCUUCUCUUUCUUUAUUGUAAUCUCAUUGAAGUGGUGGGUUUCUCCUAAAUUUAUGAAAAGUUAAUUUAUUUCGAUAUGAAUUUCUUAUAUAUUAUAUAAUUCUUUUUUUUUUCACGAGACAGAAAUGUAAAUCAGGGUAGUGUAGAAAAAUAUGACGUUGUGGCGCCCCCUAACGGUAGCAGCUGAAAUAAGAAGACUUUUAAAUGUAUUUUUCUCACUCAAAUCUUUGUGAUGUUACUUUAUCUAUCUGUGUGAUUAUUCUACACUUUUUGGGUGUAUAUUUAUGAAUGUGAGAACACAUGGUGAUAAGUCUACCACACAUUUAUUUUUAUAGAGAACAAUAAGUGAAAUAUCACCACAGAGGCUGCUGAUUUGUUCUGUGUUCAUCAGAAAAAACAUUAAAUACUUCCAGUGAACUGCAGUCUGCUGUCCCGUGUACCAGUGGACAGCGAGCGGUCCAACCUGGAGGACAGAGUGAUGGAGUUGGAGGAAUGGCUCAGUGAGACACACAGAGAGUGUGUGAUCAACACCAAGCAGUGUUUUAGGAGUGUGAGCAGGAGUGAGAGACUCACAGUGUCCUGAAGUACCAGUACAAUCAUCUGAGGGAAACUGUAACCUACAGCAAGGAGUCACUACAGGUCUUCUGGAUGAAGCUGAGAAGAAACACGAGCAGGUGCUGGAGUCCAGUGUUCAUCUACAGAAAGAGAUCUACAAACUGGUAUCAGACAUGGACUUACUGUAGCCUCAGCUGAGCUGAAAGAGGAAGAGCUUCUUCAGACUAACAGGAAGUGCAGCAGGUUAAUGGCAGAGUGGGAACAGUACCAGGAUGUUUACUGUACCAUGAAGGUGAAGUACGACGGAAUGAAAGAAUCCGUGAAACAUUUGUAGAUUUUCAUCACAGACUUGUACAGAGCAUGUAGCGCCAUCACUUGGCCUGAAAAGCAGCUCAGUGGUCACGUGGUCGGUUAUGGCGCUCAAUAAGUUCCUGAUGUGGUUUCUGUUUGUAUUUUUUUCCUCAUUUCAUUAAUUCUUUCUUUGCAUGUGAAUGUGAAUGAAAAUAAAUCUCUUGUCACUGUGUGAUGUAAUAUUUUUGCUGGAAAUUGCAAUAAUAAAGUACUUAAAAUGUA